GCAUCACUCUCUUUCUGGGAUGGGUUUCUGGCUUGAAUCUGUACUGAUUGUAUGUUUUGUUGCACUAUGGGAACUAUAUUAGCAAAACAGUUCUAGAGUCACAGUUGUGUAUUUGGCGCCCUCUAGUGCAAUUUUUAAAUGACAAAAGCAUAGUUUAUCUUUGCUGAGCUGUUAACUGGAAGAGAAUAAAAUUUAAAUUUCAAUUU
rnacentral:lncRNA from 1 species